GGCGUCCCAGCCGCACCGCUCUUCCCUCUGAACUCUUUCAAACUUCAUCAAAGGGRAACAAGCGGCGCGAGGAGGAGGCAGGAACACAAGAAAAAUGAUAAAAGAGUAGAAAGAGGGAGCGAACAAACCCCGUCUUCCUAAUGACAUCCCCAUGAGGGAUCAGCUACAGAGCGCUCACACCCUCAGCUUUCGUUCUGGCUCUGGUUUCCACUUUCACACACCGCAAAGACUCCAUGAUCCAACCUGAGCUACCCACACGCAGCAGAUUGGCUUCCCCGGCUGUCCGGGCCCAGGUUUAUCUGUCGGCCAUGCUGGGAGCUUCGACACAACGCGGCCAGAUGGAGGGAGGGAAGGAAAGGAGGCAGCGAGGGGAAGGCUGGCUCUGCUGCUCUGAGAAUUACUCCCAAUAACUGUUUGAUGUAGCAGAGAGAAGAGGGUGAAGAACAGAGAACUGGUUGUUCUUUCACAGCACAUUAUCAGUUAAUUAAAGCU